GGGUUCUGCCUGCCCAGUGACGUAGUUAAACGGCCGCGGUAUUUUGACCGUGCAAAGGUAGCAUAAUCAUUUGCCUUUUAAAUGGAGGCUGGUAUGAAUGGCAAGACGGAAAUUUAGCUGUCUCUCUUUUAGUAUCUUGAAUUUAAUAUCUUUGUGAAGAAGCGAAGAUAAGUUCGUAGGACGAGAAGACCCUAUUGAGCUUAAGUUAAAAUUAUUAGCAUAAUAGUUUUAUUUUUAGGCUAAUUAAAAAUAAUAGUAAUUUUAUCUUAAAAUAAAAGGAUGGCUGUUUAAUUGUACUUUGGUUGGGGCAAUCGCGGAGAAAAUUAAUCCUCCGAUAUAAAUUUGAAGUCAAAAAUUACUAUUUUAAAGUAAUAAUUAAAUUAUAUAAAAAUGAUCCACUUGUAUAAAGUGAUCAAAGGAAUAAGUUACCAUAGGGAUAACAGCGUAAUUUUUUUGGAGAGUUCAUAUUGAUAAAAAAGUUUGCGACCUCGAUGUUGGAUCGGGACUUCCAGGAGAUGCAGCAGUUUCCAAAGGUUGGUCUGUUCGACCA
rnacentral:rRNA from 1 species